CUAUUCAAUGCAUCUUACAUGAUUUGAAUUUCAAAAUUACUUGCUUUGUAAACUGCCAAAGUGACUCUUCAUAGCAAUCACUUCAGUUCUUCUUUCCCACCUCAUCUCUAUAACUGAUACAACCCUUCACUCUGUCAAACAACCUUUUUAAUCCUUCUUCUCCAUACUUCAUCCUCGUUUCUCAAAAUUUUCUUAGAGUUUGAAUGGAAAAACCUAAGACCUUUUCUUCCUCUACUGCCACUCGAAGAAGCGGUCGCUUUCAUAAAUCCCAAAUCCUCGAAGAGACUGUUGAUCUUGAAUCAUCACUUGACUCUCACCCUCUUAAAAUGGAUGAUGAAAGCAAGAAUUCUUCUUAAAAUAAAGUUUUAAGUAAGAAAACAACUGGUAAGAGACCCGUGGAUCAAACCCCAAAAAGGUCUACAUGCAAGAAAGGCAAAUUUGAAAGUCUUGAUUUUGGGUCUGAGGAAAAAAUAAACUUCUCUAAGCCUCCAAAAAAAUCAAGGUUUGAAUAUAACAAAUCAAAAUCCAUAGCCUAUGGAUGCACUCACUUAUGACAAAACAGUCUUUGCCAUGAUGGGAUACACUCUAGUUGAAGAUGUAUGAGUAAGGCGAGUGAAAACAACAUAUGCACCAGCACAAGUAGAGAAAACUAUUGAGCACAUUGAAACAUCUACAACAGAUUCAACAGGGCUUGGAAGGACUCAGAGACAUGCUUACCAAAAUGCAGGGAUAAGUUGACUCGAUCAGAGAAAUGACCAAAAUUCACAAGGACGGAUGUAGCCAAGUCAAGGAUGGAUCUAGAAGCCAUCAAGAAUAAGGGAAUUAAGGCUUUCUAGAUUGUGACUGAGAGGAUUAAUAAGUUUUCCAAAGAAAUUAGAACUUUCUAUGAUAACUUCUGCAUCAAAGUCAUCAAUACCCUCAAGUACUUUCUAGGGAGAAACUAAGAAGGAUAAACAUAGAGUUUUGCAAGGUAUAAGACAGGGGGAGCUAAAGAAUUUUGCAAGACAUAAGACAGUGGGAGCACAUAAGCACAUUUUCAUCAGGGAAGUACCAUCUAUCUUAUUAAACUCUUUUUGUUGUCAUCAUAAAAAAAAAGGAAAGAUUGAUAAGUCUAUAUUUCAUAUGUUUUAAUGAUGACAAAAAGUAAUACUAAUUUUAUAACUAUCUAUGCUGGAAAAAAGAACAAGAAAAGAGUCAAAAGAAGAAAUCCAAGGGAGAUCAGGAGAAGAAAAAAAGAAAAGAGAAAUUGAAGGAAGAUCCGAGAUCAAGGAGAAAUCAAAGGAGUAUCAAUCAGACAAUUCAGCACACAUUUGUUUAGAAAGGACGCCUGAAAAAAAAACCGAGCAAUCAACUCGCAAUCAACAAGAUUGGUCAAUAAUUCAUCUUGGAGGAUCUGAAGAAUAUCAUAUGCAUAGAAAGAAGAAGAGGGAAGCACAAGGAAGGAGAUCUUGUUUAAUAUAUCAAUCAAAAAUUCAGUCCUCAUAUAUUGACUGGACUCAGAGGCAUCCCUUGGGUCAGACUAUUAGAAUAAAUCUGCCUGAAAAAGGAAAUAACAAAUCUCGCCCUUCAAAUUAGCUGAAGAUAUUAUGACUGAAGAAUCUUAAGCCAACGGCCAGAACCACUGCCUAUAUAAAGGACUCGGAGAGAUGAAGAGAAGCACACAACUUUAUAUGCAAUUUUUUUUACAUCUUUCUAGUUCUUAGUCAAACACUGUAUUUUUUAUUUUACUAGCGUCAUAAAAGAUAGAAAGGAAAAAAAACACUUGAUAGGUUGUGUCAAGAGAUAGAAAAAUAAAUUUGUUUGUACA